rnacentral:rRNA from 1 species
UACGAAGGGGGCUAGCGUUGCUCGGAAUCACUGGGCGUAAAGCGCCCGUAGGCGGAUUGUUAAGUCAGGGGUGAAAUCCUGGAGCUCAACUCCAGAACUGCCUUUGAUACUGGCGAUCUUGAGUCCGGGAGAGGUGAGUGGAACUGCGAGUGUAGAGGUGAAAUUCGUAGAUAUUCGCAAGAACACCAGUGGCGAAGGCGGCUCACUGGCCCGGUACUGACGCUGAGGCACGAAAGCGUGGGGAGCAAACAGG